rnacentral:rRNA from 1 species
GAGCGCACCCUUGUCCUUAGUUGCCAGCACGUAAUGGUGGGAACUCUAGGGAGACUGCCGGUGACAAACCGGAGGAAGGUGGGGACGACGUCAAGUCAUCAUGGCCCUUACGACCUGGGCUACACACGUGCUACAAUGGCCAGUACAGAGGGCUGCAAGCCCGCGAGGGGGAGCUAAUCUCACAAAGCUGGUCGUAGUCCGGAUCGCAGUCUGCAACUCGACUGCGUGAAGUUGGAAUCGCUAGUAAUCGUGAAUCAGAAUGUCACGGUGAAUACGUUCCCGGGNCUUGCACACACCGCCCGU